CCUCUCGGGGGUAAGCGGGCAGAACUUGCAAGUAUUGAGGGGAACAUUCAGGCUUGGUGUUGAUGGCUGAUGAUGUGCAUUAAGUUGUUGGUUCGCCUUUGGCUGAUGCACGUUUUUUGUUCUGUUGACAAUACGCCGCAUUUGUUCCUCUCAUCGGGUUGCAUGCGACUGAGUUGUGUAUUUUAGGUGCCGGGGUACUGCAAAUCCUUGUGGUUUGAGUCCUGGUUUCCAACUACAUAUGCGGUCGUUGUACAGCAAACAGGCGUUUAACGCGGUCAGGGGUUUUCACGAGUGGGGUGCAUAUGAUUUGUGGACGGGUAACCGUAGCACGUUGUAUGUAUCUGCUGUCAGUGAGAGCUGUUUGGCACUGUUUAGUAUUGCAAUCUAAAGCAUGCGUGGUCUGCCUGU
rnacentral:rRNA from 1 species